AUGAGUCUGUUAUGCUGGAACUGUCGAGGCUUGGGGUCGGACUCGACGGUUGGCGAGCUUCGCUGGUUAGUGAAGCUUCACUGCCCCACCCUCCUCUUUCUCUCUGAGACGAAGAUGAGGGAUUCACGUGUCAGAAACUUUAUGUGGUCUCUAGGAUUUACCGGGUGUUUGCUUGUCAAUUCCGACGGUCUGAGUGGUGGUUUGGCUCUAUUUUGGAUGGCGUUUGUUGAUGUUUCUCUCAAGGGGAGCAAUGCUCGAUGUAUUGAUGUUCUUGUUACUUCGGAGGCGGGCUCAACUUGGCGUGCUACCUUUGUGUACGGCGAACCGAGGAGGGAGGAUAGGCCACAAUUCUGGGAGUUGCUGAAACGUUUGAAAGCUCAAUGGCAGGGUCCUUGGAUUGUAUGUGAGGAUUUCAAUGAGGUUCUAUCCCAGGAUGAACAUUGUGGUCCCCGGGACAGAUCUGAAGCUCAGAUUUCAGCCUUUCGUGAUUGUCUCAUGGACUGUGAGUUGAUGGAUUUGAGUUUCUCUGGGCCUAAGUUUACGUGGAGUAAUCGCCAAGACCCGAAGUGCCAUGUGAAAGUCCGUCUUGAUAGAGCAGUGGCCAAUUCAGAUUUUAUAAGGUUGCAUGAUGUAUGCGUCGUUGAACAUGUGAUCACCACCUCCUCUGAUCAUUAUGCUAUCUUGAUCGAGCUUGCCGGGCAGCCCACCCAGAGGGCGCAACGACCAGUGCAACAAGGUUUUAAGUUCUAG
rnacentral:rRNA from 1 species